UUUUGAGCCUUCCAAUUCCUAUAAUACUGUGCGGGGGUGGGGGGGUGAGAUAUCUAUAGAAGUUAGUGAAAAUGAAGCUGAUUCAAGAGACCAUAUCUAAUCCUGUUAACCUAGACAAGUUUUUACACUGUAAAACAUGGAGCGCCAAACUGAAUUUUCCUGAACCUCUUUUUUCAGUAUGAUUUUCUGUGAUAGAGAUUUUCCAGAUUCCACACCUCCCUAAUGGCCACAGUCCAUCUUGGGCAGUUGCUUUGCUCUUCUCCUUACCUUGCCUCUUGGAAGGUCAUCAUUAUUGCAAGAGCACUGUGUUCUUUUUCAAAACUUACAGCAAGAAUUGAUCUG
rnacentral:lncRNA from 1 species